CCUCGGCCCUCUCUUUCACCCUCCCGAGGGAGGUGGGACUCUAAUUCUGGGUGACCAGUAACAAUAAAAACCACUAAUAGCCCUAGUGGAAAGAAUGACUAUUUAAUAGGUGCACAUGAUGAGCAGACAAGGAGCGCUCUCUUCCCUCGCACUCACUCUGCAGAACAGAGAGGGGAACAGUCUUGUUACUGUGAGAGCUAGACACAGCCUCUGUGGUCUCCCUCCUCGCAAGACAAGAGGGGUGGCCUCAGGCUGUGACUGAAACAGCCAUGAAGGCUUCGGCCCAGGAACCGACUGCCCUGCAGCUGACUCCCUGCUGCUUUUGGGAAGUGGGGGUGAAGGGAAAAGACUUGGGGGAAGAUAGCUUGGUGGGCAGAACUCCACUUGCCGAAUUCUUCCUUUUUCAGGAUUCAUUGCCCGAAGGUGCACCUGGCUCUGGCCCCAGUCCUUACUCCCAUGUGCCAGCUGCAGUGCCCUGGGCCCCUCGGAGGCUGGCAGGGCUGCUGGGAGGGUGAGGACAGGCAUGGGAAGAGUGGAAAGUGGGGCCUGACCCAGCCAAGCUCCAGGAGGCCAUUCCAUAGAGGAGAGAGCCAUGGACCAGGAGCCACGCAGGGAAGAAGGAAGGAAGGGUAGAGCCGAGCACCGCCCAUACCUGGAAUAAUCUCAGGGAGAGGAUGGUGUGGACAGACCCCAGGAAAGGGCUUCUCAGCUAGGGGCAACUCGUUAUGCUGCAGUGGGGGCACCGAACAGAACCCCCUAGGGAUUUUUUAAAAGUAUACAGCACAGUCCUGUCCAGGGGAAACCCCAGUGUGUCCUCAUCACAGCCAUGUGAACUCUGCUGUUUGUUCAUAAAAAUGUGUUACAUCCCUGGGGGAAAAAAAGGAGCUAACCCAAUAGAGAGAAGAGUGGCUCAGGGGAGACAGUCACCGGUGAGGAAUGAGGGCAGGACACACGGGCCCAGGCCGAGAUUGCACAGGGUGUCGCAUGAGUGGCUGUGUCAGAGCCAAGUGCACGUGCCCACUGCCACCUCCGCCAAGGCCAUCAGUGAAUCCCUCCAGCACCUACCGGGGCUUUGUACACAGGAGCUGUGCUGGAGUCGGGGGCACAGGGCAGGAAGCCAGACAGGGGGGCACCAUGUCCCUGAGUAAGGUAGAAAAGGGAAUCACAGCCUGGACACAUUCAUCUAUUCCUUUAUUUCUAAAUAUCACCAAGUGCCUGCCACAGCUAUGUGCUGGGAACUCAGUGAACACACCUGUGCUUUGCCUACUGGCAUGGAGCCCACGGUCCAGGGGUGAUGGUUUCUGUUGCAUUUCAAAGCCAUUGGGGCGCUGCAUAGAUGGCUGGCUGCAGAGUCUAUUUGAGAGGAAGGCAAGAAGUCAGGGCCAUGGACCGUGGAUUCCACCCUUGAUCGUCUACUACAGGAAAGAAGCCACAGAAGUGAGGGGGCAUUCCCAAGAGGAAGGCAGAAAAGUAGAAACUAAAACUGAGUCAAGAAGUGUAGCCAGUCCCAUGGGAGCACCUGGGCUAAGGAGG
rnacentral:lncRNA from 1 species